AGCCACUGCCCACAGCACACUG
rnacentral:miRNA from 1 species